GUGCUUGCUUUGGCAGCACAAAUACUAAAAUUGGAAUGAUACAGAGAACAUUAGUAAGGUCCCUGCUAAAGGAUAAGAUGCAAAUUCAUGAAGCAUACCAUAUUUUA
ensembl:snRNA U6 U6 spliceosomal RNA